GAUGAAGAACGUAGCGAAAUGCGAUAAGUAAUGUGAAUUGCAGAAUUCAGUGAAUCAUCGAAUCUUUGAACGCAUCUUGCGCUCCUUGGUAUUCUGAGGAGCAUGCCUGUUUGAGUGUUAUUAAAUUCUCAACUACACUGACUUUGAAUUGGUGUGGCUUGGAUUUGGGGGGAAAAUUGUUGUGGGCUUUUUGUAUAGUCUGCUCCCCUGAAAUUGAUUAGCGGUACCUUUGUGGAACUGUCUACAGGUGUGAUAAUUAUCUACAUCUUAGACAUCUGCUGGAAUGCUGCUUUCUAAACCUUACUUGUAUUGACAAUCUUGACCUCAAAUCAGGUAGGACUACCCGCUGAACUUAAGCAUAUCAAUAAGCGGAGGA
rnacentral:misc_RNA from 1 species